GCCUUCAUGGCGAUUGGAACAAAUUGUCCUCAUCCACCCAUUCCACCAGGAGAAGUCUUCACUUACUCAGAGUGGACAUCCCCCUCAUUCACUGACAGGUUAUUCUUAUUUGUUACAAGGGAGAACUUCUAUAUGGAUGGAGUAGGAGGAGGCUGUGGCACGGAGUUGCUGCUGACCUAAAAUUGAAGACUUGGCUUCCCUGACUCAGCAGGAUACAGAUGUGUGAACCCUGCUCAGAGCAGGGCAGACAGAGACGGGGAAGCCAGCCCCACACAAGGGAACUCAUCCCUGGGCAUGCGUGUGUGCACCCCUAGCCAUCUACCUCCAUGCUGGCGUCAGGGAGCUUGAAAGCCUGAUGAUGGACAGCAGGUCUGCUGAAGCCUCUGGGGAGCUGGCUGGUUGUUUCUGGAAAGAGAGACUGAUCUUGCAGCAGCAGCAGCAACAGCAGCAGAUACAGCCCAGCUGGACCCACUGGUUGGUUUAGUGACUGACUGCAAAGUCAGGGGGACUGGACUGGGGUGUGGAAGGACGGAAAGGGGCUCUGAAAGUGGUGCUUUAUGAGCCCUUGUUCAACUCAGGCAUCAGCCCUCUGCCUGGGUUAUUACAUCAGCCUCUUAACAGACCUCCCUGCCUCCAGUCAGCCCAUUCAAACC